ensembl:snRNA U6 U6 spliceosomal RNA
GUGCUCGCGUUGGGAGCACAUACACUAAAACUGGAACAAUUCAGAGAUUAGCAUGGCCCCUGAACAAGGAUGACAUGCAAAUUCGUGAAGCGGUCCAUAUUUUU